UUACCAUGCAGUCGAACGGCAGCACGGGAGCAAUCCUGGUGGCGAGUGGCGAACGGGUGAGUAAUACAUCGGAACGUGUCCUGGAGUGGGGGAUAGCCCGGCGAAAGCCGGAUUAAUACCGCAUACGCUCUGAGGAGGAAAGGGGGGGAUCUUAGGACCUCUCGCUCAAGGGGCGGCCGAUGGCAGAUUAGCUAGUUGGUGGGGUAAAGGCCUACCAAGGCGACGAUCUGUAGCUGGUCUGAGAGGACGACCAGCCACACUGGGACUGAGACACGGCCCAGACUCCUACGGGAGGCAGCAGUGGGGAAUUUUGGACAAUGGGCGCAAGCCUGAUCCAGCAAUGCCGCGUGUGUGAAGAAGGCCUUCGGGUUGUAAAGCACUUUUGUCCGGAAAGAAAACACGCCUGUUAAUACCGGGUGUGGAUGACGGUACCGGAAGAAUAAGCACCGGCUAACUACGUGCCAGCAGCCGCGGUAAUACGUAGGGUGCAAGCGUUAAUCGGAAUUACUGGGCGUAAAGCGUGCGCAGGCGGUUCGUUAAGACAGAUGUGAAAUCCCCGGGCUUAACCUGGGAACUGCAUUUGUGACUGGCGGACUCGAGUAUGGCAGAGGGGGGUAGAAUUCCACGUGUAGCAGUGAAAUGCGUAGAGAUGUGGAGGAAUACCGAUGGCGAAGGCAGCCCCCUGGGCCAAUACUGACGCUCAUGCACGAAAGCGUGGGGAGCAAACAGGAUUAGAUACCCUGGUAGUCCACGCCCUAAACGAUGUCAACUGGUUGUCGGGUCUUCAUUGACUUGGUAACGAAGCUAACGCGUGAAGUUGACCGCCUGGGGAGUACGGUCGCAAGAUUAAAC
rnacentral:rRNA from 1 species